UACGUAGGCAGCAAGCGUUGUUCGGAAUUACUGGGCGUAAAGCGCACGUAGGCGGAUCGUUAAGUCGGGGGUGAAAUCCUGGAGCUCAACUCCAGAACUGCCUUCGAUACUGGCGAUCUUGAGUCCGGAAGAGGUGAGUGGAACUCCUAGUGUAGAGGUGGAAUUCGUAGAUAUUAGGAAGAACACCAGUGGCGAAGGCGGCUCACUGGUCCGGUACUGACGCUGAGGUGCGAAAGCGUGGGGAGCAAACAGG
rnacentral:rRNA from 1 species